UUCAGCAGAUAGAGUUUGAUCCCCGGCUCAGGGUGAACGCUAGCGGUGCGCCAAACACAUGCAAGUCGAGCGGUAGAUUGUUAAUUGACUCUUCGGAUGAUUUUAAUAAUUGAGAGCGGCGAACGGGUGAGUAACACGUUGGUAUCUGCCCCCAAGUCAGGGAUAGCCAUUGGAAACGAUGAUUAAUACCGGAUAGUCUCUUCGGAGUAAAGAUUUAUUGCUUGGGGAGGAACCUGCGUUCUAUCAGCUUGUUGGUGAGGUAAAGGCUCACCAAGGUUAUGACGGAUACCUGGUCUGAGAGGAUGAUCAGGCACAAUGGAACUGAGACACGGUCCAUACUCCUACGGGAGGCAGCAGUGAGGAAUCUUCCACAAUGGGCGAAAGCCUGAUGGAGCGACACCGCGUGAAGGAUGAAGGCCUAACGGUUGUAAACUUCUUUUCUGAGGGAGCAUAAUGAGAGUACCUCAGGAAUAAGGGACGGCUAAAUACGUGCCAGCAGCCGCGGUAAUACGUAUGUCUCGAGCGUUACCCGGAAUUAUUGGGUGUAAAGGGUUCGUAGGCGGACCUAUAAGUCAGAUAUGAAAGACCGGAGCUCAACUCCGAGUUUGUGUUUGAAACUGUAGGUCUAGAAUUAGGGAGAGGUAAGCGGAAUUUCUAAGUGUAGGGGUGCAAUCCGUAGAUACUUAGAGGAACACCGAAAGCGAAGGCAGCUUACUGGAACUAUAUUGACGCUGAGGAACGAAAGCGUGGGGAGCGAAAAGGAUUAGAUACCCUUGUAGUCCACGCCC
rnacentral:rRNA from 1 species